rnacentral:tRNA from 1 species
CGCCCGGUAGCUCAGUGGUUAGAGCGCUGGCUUUGCAAGCCAGAGGACGGGGGUUCGAUUCCCCGGCCAGGUGG